AGAUUUUAUAAACAUUUUGCCAGUGGAUCAAUACCUGUAUUGAUCAACCAUUGUGAGAGUGAUCCGUCUAAAACCCAGAGCAGCCUAGAGCUCAGAGAUGGGAGGAGCGAAAGAGAAAGGCUGCAGAGAGGAUGGAGAAAGAGAGAGAGUCUGCAGCCACAGUGAAAGGGAGAAGAGGUACAAGGGAAGAGAAGCAAAUCUGAGAGAGAAGCAGACGCAGAGCUGAAGGCAGGUGGGGAGGCAGGUUUUCGGACAAUGCUGCCAGGCCACUGGGAUUGGGGAGAAAUCUAUGGUAAUUGCUUUCUCAUUAAGAGAGAGAGGGUGAGAGCGACUAAUGACUACUGCUUUAAGUAUGCGGAAGAAAAACUCCCCCUGAACAGAAGAAGCUGGAGUCUGAAAGAUCUGCAGUUCGCCUUGGUGACAACAUGGGACAGAGAAGGCCCAGCACAUAACUGGGAAUUCCUGAGAAAAUCAAAGAAUGAAAGAAAUAGCCUGCAUCCUGGAUACAAAGAUGAAUGGAGGAAGCAAAGGGAACAUUUCUGAUCAAGAGAAAGUUGGAUGUAUAUUCCAACACUGAUUUCCCCUUUAAGAUGAAAAGGACUGCAUUAUGGUAGUGCAACUGUGGAAAAUAUCAAAGUUUUGCUGUUUUGAACUGGUGUGGAUAAAGCUAGCUUUGGGAUUUUUUUUUGACAAUUCAUUGGAUUGGAUUUAAUUUUUAUUUUAUUUUGAAUUUUGCUGGAAUUUAACAGUACAGACAACUGGACCACUUCAAUUCAAGGCCCCAAGCUGGGCUGCACUGGAGGUGGAGUCAAAAGGCUUCUGGGAUCAUUUCCCCAAUGCUAAAGAGAAAUCAAGUUUCCAUUGAUCGACUUUUAAUGUGACUGCCUUGUGCAUAAUUGUGGAUUUAAGGGAAGGUAUAUUCCUCUAAAGUGUGGGAGAGUACCCUGGUGCUCAUAAACUCACUUUGCACUUGAGCUCUGCUGCUCAAAGAAAAAGGCCUACAAUCUACAGGUUUAAUCCUCUGGGAACAUGCAAUUCAAUUAAAAGAAUGAACAUUGUGUACCAAGGACAAAAAGCACAUACAUACAGUUCUGUAAAAUAAACUGUAAAUCUAAUUACACAUAAUUAUGCAGUACACAAUGCAAUUGGUGUGUGGCGGUACAUAUCCUUGGUUGUGCCCCAGAUACACACUGCAUACUAACACAAUAACAAUGCAGUGUGUAUGUUUCACAGUAUACUGUUGUGACAGUUAUAAUACAAGAAACUAAUGACAGGAAAUGUUACAAGAUUGUCUCCAACAGACUUCAUUACAUUAAACUGUGAUUUUGG